rnacentral:ncRNA from 1 species
GCAAAUGUGUUGAUUAGAAAUAGUAAAAAUGAUCGAACCUUUCAGAGAGCCGUUGGUUGGUGAGAAACGGCAGCGCUCAUCAUUUUGAACUCGUUUAUGAACAGCUGCCUGAUAUGUAGGGUGAGCCGGGAUUCCGCCGUUACAAGGAUAGAUGGUGUCGGCCAUCGAAAGAGAUCAUUUCAGAGCGUGAAAUGAAUUAGAGUGGUACCGCGGGAUAAACCUCGUCUCUAUU